rnacentral:rRNA from 1 species
CCUAGGCGACGAUCAGUAACUGGUCUGAGAGGAUGACCAGUCACACUGGGACUGAGACACGGCCCAGACUCCUACGGGAGGCAGCAGUGGGGAAUUUUCCGCAAUGGGCGAAAGCCUGACGGAGCAAUACCGCGUGAGGGACGAAGGCUUUUGGGUCGUAAACCUCUUUUCCCUGAGAAGAAGAUCUGACGGUAUCAGGGGAAUCAGCAUCGGCUAACUUCGUGCCAGCAGCCGCGGUAAUACGAGGGAUGCAAGCGUUAUCCGGAAUUAUUGGGCGUAAAGCGUCCGCAGGUGGCUCUGUAAGUCUGUCGUUAAAGAAUGGGGCUCAACCCCAUACAGGCGAUGGAAACUACAAGGCUAGAGUUUGGUAGGGGUCACGGGAAUUCUUAGUGUAGCGGUGAAAUGCGUAGAUAUUAAGAAGAACACCAGCGGCGAAAGCGCGUGACUGGGCCAGUACUGACACUCAUGGACGAAAGCUAGGGGAGCGAAAGGGAUUAGAUACCCCUGUAGUC